GUAAUACUCCCUCCGUCCGGAAAUACUUGUCGGAAAAAUGCAUAAAAAUGGAUGUAUUUAGAAUUAAGAUACGUCUAGAUACAUCCGUUGCUCCGAUAAGUAUUUCCGGACGGAGGGAGUAGAUU
rfam:Triticum aestivum genome assembly, contig: Triticum_aestivum_CS42_TGACv1_scaffold_130899_2BL